GUGCUCACGUUGGCAGCACAUAUACUACAACUGGAACAAUGCAGAGAUUAGCAUGGACCCUGUGCAAGGAUGACACAAAAAUUCAUGAAGCAUUCCAUAUUUUA
ensembl:snRNA U6 U6 spliceosomal RNA